GACAGAGGGGGCAAGCGUUGUCCGGACUGACUGGGCGUAAAGCGCGCGCAGGCGGAUGCGGGCGUCGGUGCGGAAAGGUCGCCGCUUAACGGCGGAGAGCGUACCGAUACGGCGCGUCUGGAGCGCGGGAGAGGGUGGUGGAAUUGCCGGUGUAGUGGUGAAAUGCGUAGAGAUCGGCAGGAACACCCGUGGCGCAAGCGGCCACCUAGCCCGUUGCUAACGCUGAGGCGCGACAGCGUGGGGAGCGAACUGG
rnacentral:rRNA from 1 species